UACGUAGGUGGCAAGCGUUGUCCGGAUUUACUGGGCGUAAAGAGCGCGCAGGCGGUCGUCCAAGUCGCGUGUGAAAGCCCCCGGCUCAACUGGGGAGGGUCACGCGAUACUGGUCGACUCGAAGGCAGGAGAGGGUAGUGGAAUUCCCGGUGUAGUGGUGAAAUGCGUAGAUAUCGGGAGGAACCCCAGUGGCGAAGGCGGGUUGCUGGGCUGACACUGACGCUGAUGUGCGAAAGCUAGGGGAGCGAACGGG
rnacentral:rRNA from 1 species